UACAUACACCACCAAAGUCCAAAGAGUAACCACUUAUUAGCUACCAGGAGUAAGUAACUAACUAAAUACACUUCUAUAACAAAAUAAAUCAGAAACUUAGUUUUCAGUGUAAUGAAACUAAUUUGGCGUUGUAGGUCUUGAUAUAUUUUUCUUAUGGACUUGGUUACAGAGUACAAACUUAACUUGAGAAUGACAGUGUUCAAAAUAGUCAAUGAAAAAUUCAUCAGUACUGAACAUAAUUAACAGAAGUUAUUUUGAUGGUAUAUAAGAAUAUUUAUGGAACAAACAACAUGAAGAUAGCUGAAAUCUUAAACAAAAAUCAAAGCACACUUGUCUGUAAAAAGCUAACAAACUAUGUGAUGCUUCCAGCUAAUAUGUUCAGAGAACAGGAGCAUGAGAAAAAAUAACAGAAACUAUAUGAUUUAACUGGUUUCAAAACAUGAAGUCCUAAAAGCUCUUGUUUUUGACUUUGCAUCCACUGAUAAAGAAGAAUCAGAGUAGUGAGCAAGACUGUAAAUGUUCUGAAAAUUAAAAGAAAAGAGAGAUUGCAUGUUCAUCUUAGCUGCAGUCCUGAUCGUGAGAAGUACAUCCUAUACGUUUUACCAAGGGAACAGUAGGGAUAACAGAAAGUCACUGUUGUCACUGUCCUAGUGAAGAAUUUUGUGCUAUCUACCUUCUUGGUUUACCCCCUAGUGCUUCGAUACAUAUGCAAUUACACAACUGAACAGUAGUAUGCUGGUUUUACUUACAUGAACAAAAUUUAUGUUGGGAGCAGGGAGUAUCCCUGCUGUACGUGUCA